UCUGAGCAUGUGAGCGCCUGUGUUUCUACCGUUGCCCUGGCCGGGCUUGCUGUCUGGGGCCCGCCUCCCACACUUCACACAGCCCCGUGCCUGCUAAGACCGUUUAUCUGAAGGUCCUCCUCUCUGCGGGCUCAGCUUGGUAGCUGGUCCACAGGGAGAAUUUUAUACCUUUGUGUGUGCUGGGGUUGGCUUCUGGAGGUGGAGACAAGAACCGGGUGUUCCACAUAGCCCUUGCUGUCUUGAAACUCCCUCGGUAGACCAGGCUGACCUCAAACUCCCAGAGAUCCUGCCCUGCCUCCCACGUGCUGGGAUUAAAGCUUCCUGAAGGCAGUUCACUCAUCUUGAGUCCCCAGAAACUAGCUGACGCCUCACAGGUUCUUCAACAGAGUAUGUUGCAUGGGAGAGCUAGCGACCCAGCUCCAAAGCCACAGCCAGGAAGUGGAGCCUCCAGAAUUCAAACCUGGGUCUGCAAAGCCACCUCCCUUCUCCCAAACAUGCUGUUUCCCUUGGAGGAGGGAGAAGAACCCAGCCCUGCAGCCUGGGCAGCGGGUAGGGAGAGAGAAGACAGGACAACAAUUAUGUAAAAUAUUAUCCCAAUUUGAAAGUGUAUUUGGGAGCCGCACACAGUGUUCAAGGCCAGCCAGCUCUACAGAUCAAGUUCCAGGACUGCCAGGGCUACACAAGAGCCUUUUCCUAACCAGGAGCGAGCCAUUAUUCCUCAUCCCCAGUGUUCCUGACCGCCCAGUCUGAAUGGAAGCCAGGGCCUGCACAGCGCCCCCCCCAGAAAGUCAUCUGGCACCGCUGCCCCCCCCCCCCCC